GGAGCCGUAGCGAAAGCGAGUUUUAACUGAGCGUUCAGUUACUUGACGUAGACCCGAAACCGGGCGACCUACCCAUGAGCAGGAGGAAGCGAAAGUAAAAUUUCGUGGAGGUCCGAACCCACGAGCGUUGAAAAGCUCGGGGAUGACUUGUGGGUAGCGGUGAAAUUCCAAUCGAGCCCGGAGAUAGCUGGUUCUCCCCGAAAUAGCUUUAGGGCUAGCCUCAAGGUGAGAGAUACGGAGGUAGAGCACUGAAUGUCCUAGGGGGUAUUGCACCUACCGAAGACUAUCAAACUCCGAAUGCCGUCAUCUUAUACUUGGGAGUCAGACUGUGGGUGAUAAGAUUCAUAGUCGAAAGGGCAACAGCCCAGAUCGUCAGCUAAGGUCCCUAAAUGUAAGUUAAGUGGUAAAGGAUGUGGGAUUGCACAGACAACCAGGAUGUUGGCUUAGAAGCAGCCACUCAUUCAAAGAGUGCGUAAUAGCUCACUGGUCGAGUGAUCCUGCGCCGAAGAUUUCCGGGGCUAAAACUUAC
rnacentral:rRNA from 1 species